GGUUAAGCGACUAAGCGUACACGGUGGAUGCCCUGGCAGUCAGAGGCGAUGAAGGGCGUGCUAAUCUGCGAUAAGCGCCGGUAAGGUGAUAUGAACCGUUAUAACCGGCGAUACCCGAAUGGGGAAACCCAGUGUGAUUCGUCACACUAUCAUUAACUGAAUCCAUAGGUUAAUGAGGCGAACCGGGGGAACUGAAACAUCUAAGUACCCCGAGGAAAAGAAAUCAACCGAGAUUCCCCCAGUAGCGGCGAGCGAACGGGGAGGAGCCCAGAGCCUGAAUCAGCAUGUGUGUUAGUGGAAGCGUCUGGAAAGGCGCGCGAUACAGGGUGACAGCCC
rnacentral:rRNA from 1 species